GAUGAACGCUGGCGGCGUGCCUAAUACAUGCAAGUCGAACGAGUUCUGGUUUAUGAUGGCGGUGCUUGCACCAAUAGAUUAAACAUUUGAACGAGUGGCGGACGGGUGAGUAACACGUGGGUAACCUGCCCUAAAGUGGGGGAUAACAUUUGGAAACAGAUGCUAAUACCGCAUAAACCUCAAAAGCACAUGCUUUUGAGUUGAAAGAUGGCGUAAGCUAUCGCUUUUGGAUGGACCCGCGGCGUAUUAGCUAGUUGGUGAGGUAAAGGCUCACCAAGGCUGUGAUACGUAGCCGACCUGAGAGGGUAAUCGGCCACAUUGGGACUGAGACACGGCCCAUACUCCUACGGGAGGCAGCAGUAGGGAAUCUUCCACAAUGGGCGCAAGCCUGAUGGAGCAACGCCGCGUGAAUGAAGAAGGUCUUCGGAUCGUAAAGUUCUGUUAUUAGAGAAGAACACGUGUAAGAGUAACUGAUUAUGCGUUGACGGUAUCUAAUCAGCAAGUCACGGCUAACUACGUGCCAGCCGCCGCAGUAACAC
rnacentral:rRNA from 1 species